AAUAAAGUGUAAAGGUUGCACGAGGAGUUUUGAUCUCUUUGGAUUAGGUUCGAUUCCUAUUGUUCUAG
rnacentral:tRNA from 1 species